UACUAUCCGGGCAAGGAUCUGUCGGCACUCCGCGGCGAGAUGCGCGGCUAUCUCGAUCGCGGCUACAAUGUCGUGAAGAUGAAGAUCGGCGGCGCGGCCAUUGCGGGAGACCAGGUACUGAAGGAGAUCGGCAAUCAGGCGCAGCUUGCGGUCGACGCCAACGGACGCUUCGAUCUGGAGACCGGCAUCGCCUAUGCCAAGAUGCUGCGCGACUAUCCGUUGUUCUGGUACGAGGAAGUCGGCGAG
rnacentral:misc_RNA from 1 species